rnacentral:lncRNA from 1 species
GCGAGCUGUGCGUCUGACAGCGCAGGUCCAGCAGCGUGGGCCCCAGGAAGGCGAUGCACAGGCCGAAGCUGAAGAAGACGCUCCAGUAGGGUCUGGCUCUGUAACCCAGGCUUGAAUGCAGUGGCAUGAUGGGUGCAAUCUUGUUACCUGUUACUGGUCUCUUCAGGUUUUCUUUUUGGCUCAAUCUUGAGAUGGAGGCUCGUUUUGUUGCCCAGGCUGGAGUGCAGUG